UACGUAGGGCGCAAGCGUUAUCCGGAAUUAUUGGGCGUAAAGAGCUCGUAGGCGGUUUGUUGCGUCGGCUGUGAAAUCCCGAGGCUCAACCUCGGGUCUGCAGUCGAUACGAGCAAACUAGAGUGUUGCAGGGGAGACUGGAAUUUCUGGUGUAGCGGUGAAAUGCGCAGAUAUCAGGAGGAACACCGGUGGCGAAGGCGGGUCUCUGGGCAACAACUGACGCUGAGGAGCGAAAGCGUGGGGAGCGAACAGG
rnacentral:rRNA from 1 species